AUGUCAGUUGAGGUGUAUCCUUACCUGCUGCCUUAGAAAUAAGACAGCAAAACAUGAUGAUCAGGUUCAAUGAAUGUGUGAUUAUAAUCCACAUUUAUCAAGAAGCUUCAACACCUUGAUGAAUCCUGUCUGAU